CGACGGACGAACGCUGGCGGCGCGCCUAACACAUGCAAGUCGAACGGGCUUCGAGAUCUUCGGAAAUUGAAGCUAGUGGCGGACGGGUGAGUAACACGUGAGUAACCUGCCCUACAGAGCGGAAUACCGUACUGGAAACGGACGUUAAUACCGCAUAACAUAUAGCGGUCACAUGGCUGGUAUAUCAAAGAUUUAUCGCUGUAGGAUGGACUCGCGCCUGAUUAGAUAGUUGGUGAGGUAACGGCCCACCCAAGUCGACGAUCAGUAGCCGGACUGAGAGGUUGAUCGGCCACAUUGGGACUGAGACACGGCCCAGACUCCUACGGGAGGCAGCAGUGGGGGAUAUUGCACAAUGGACGAAAAAGUCUGAUGCAGCGACGCCGCGUGAGGGAAGACGGUUUUCGGAUUGUAAACCUCUGUCUUCGGGGACGAAAAUGACGGUACCCGAGGAGGAAGCCACGGCUAACUACGUGCCAGCAGCAGC
rnacentral:rRNA from 1 species